rnacentral:tRNA from 1 species
GCCCAGGUAGCUCAGUUGGUAGAGCAUGUGACUGAAAAUCACAGUGUCGCUGGUUCGAUUCCGGCCCUGGGCA